rnacentral:rRNA from 1 species
CGCUCUUUGAGUCCAAAUAUAAAGAGUCGUGCCUGCCCAGUGAUAAUUUAAACGGCCGCAGUACCCUGACUGUGCUAAGGUAGCAUAAUCACUUGCUUUUUAAUUGAAAGCUAGAAUGAAUGGCUUGACGAAAACACUACUGUCUCUUUUACAUUAACUAAAAAUUAAUUUUUAGGUGAAGAAGCCUAAAUAAAUUCAAAAGACGAAAAGACCCUAUCGAGCUUAAAAAUAAAUUUAAUUUUACCGUAACAGCUAAUUUAAAAUUUAAAAAUAAUUUUUUGUUGGGGCGACAAAAGAACAUAUAAAGCUUCUUUUAAUUUAAAUAACCGAUAAGUUAAAACGAUCCAUUAAUACUGAUUAAAAGAAAAGUUACCGUAGGGAUAACAGCGUAAUUUCUUCGAAGAGCUCAAAUUGAAGAAGAAGUUUGCGACCUCGAUGUUGGAUUAAAAAUUCACCCCGGUGCAGCAGCCAGGGCAGAAGGUCUGUUCGACCUUUAAAAUUUU